GCCCGGGUGGCGGAAUCGGUAGACGCGCAGCACUUAAAAUGCUGUGGUCCGUUAGCGACCGUGCGGGUUCGAGUCCCGCCUCGGGCA
rnacentral:tRNA from 1 species